CGCUGCUACUACCCAGCCAGACUGGCUCCCUACGCGGUGCGCGGCCCGAGAUCAGGGCCAGCUUUCACCCCCAGCUCUGCUCCGGAGCCGGCCUUAAGAGAAGUGGGAUUAACAGAAGAAGCCAGUCUGCAGGUCAGGCCUCCGUGUUGAUGAGCAUCUCCACCUUCACACCUGGCCAGUCCCUGUGCCUGAGACCCACAGAACCCAGCCCAGCCCAAGCUGGCAGGAGAGGAGCCUGCCCUCCUCCCCGGGACACUGCCACCACCACCAACACCCCCUCCUUUCUAGGCAUCUUCUGGGAGGGGCCGGUGGGUUUGAGCGGAAGCAGAGCCAGCACAGUGGACACCGCUACUCUGAGCAUCUGUUGGCUGCAGAGGCCAGGGUUUCUCCCAGGUCACCUGUCAGUAUCACAGGGUUUCCUCCAGGACCUCAU
ensembl:lncRNA